CCUACGGGCGGCAGCAGUGGGGAAUAUUGCGCAAUGGGCGAAAGCCUGACGCAGCGACGCCGCGUGAGGGAUGAAGGUCUUCGGAUCGUAAACCUCUGUCAGCAGGGAAGAACGGUCACUGUGCUAAUCAGCAGUGAAUUUACGUUACCUGCAAGGGAAGCACCGGCUAAAUCCGUGCCAGCAGGCGCGGUAAUACGGAGGGUGCGAGCGUUAAUCGGAAUUACUGGGCGUAAAGCGCUCGUGGGCGGUAUGUCAAGUCAAGGGUGAAAUCCCCGCGCUCAACGUGGGAACUGCCUUUGAAACUGGCAGACUCGAGUGUGUGAGAGGAUAGUGGAAUUACAGGUGUAGGAGUGAAAU
rnacentral:rRNA from 1 species